rnacentral:lncRNA from 1 species
GUGGACAUUUGGGACAACUUGUCACGUUUCUAUCGCCACCAAUUAGAUGGUAUUUAAAGCGAUAAAUUCCACCCGUUGUAACCUUGUUACAAAAGACGCAUACAACAUUUGUAUUCUUCCCAUCAACUUUUUGGCCAUAUCGCCAAGCCGGGUCUUUCUCUUUCGAACUUUGAGACAUUUAAUUAUCCCUAUUAAGAUAUAAGUGAAAACAAAAUUAAUAAACUGCAAAUACACUGAAAAUACACUGAAAUACACUGAAAAUACACUAAAAUUAAACUGAAAUUAAUAAUAAUAAUACAAUAAUUAAAUAUAUAUAUAUAUAUAUGCUACAGUACCAUAAAAAAAAUGAAAAGAACUGGAGAAAAAACAAAUGAAAAAGAAUAAAGUGAAACAGUCAGAAACUCUGUCUCGCGACUGUCGCCGACGGUCGACUCUGUUCGUACAUGAAAAAAACAUGAAAAAAAGAUGGAAAUCCGUCGUCGACAUCGACAGAGAGAAAGAAGAAUAAGAUGGAAGAAGAAGAUGAAGAAGAAAGAAAAAACAAGAAGAAAGGAGAAGAAAAAAUACCUGGGUAUCUCGUCGGUCGUCAGUCGUCGGUCGUCGGUGAAGAUGGAAACCCUAAUUUCCGUCACUGGAGAAGAAGAGGGGUCGUUGGUCGAGCUCUUUUUUUAAUUUCCGUCACUGGAAAGUGGAAACCCUAAUUUCCAGGACUGGUCGAGCUCUUUUU